rnacentral:ribozyme from 1 species
UGCCCAGCAACUCCUAUCUCUACCUCCUUGCGGUACUGGCCGGGGUACGAAUAACCUUAGGGAAGAUCGGGUAGCCAACCCCGGUUUGGAACUCUGAUCGUAUGCUGACAGGGAAGG